rnacentral:rRNA from 1 species
UACGGGGGGGGCAAGCGUUGUUCGGAAUUACUGGGCGUAAAGGGCUCGUAGGCGGCCAACUAAGUCAGACGUGAAAUCCCUCGGCUUAACCGGGGAACUGCGUCUGAUACUGGAUGGCUUGAAUCCGGGAGAGGGAUGCAGAAUUCCAGGUGUAGCGGUGAAAUGCGUAGAUAUCUGGAGGAAUACCGGUGGCGAAGGCGGCAUCCUGGACCGGCAUUGACGCUGAGGAGCGAAAGCUAGGGGAGCAAACGGG